GAUUGCGAGUUUAAUCUUUAUAUUAACAUUUAAACUUUUCUUAACAUCCACAAUUUGCAACCAAAACAAUAGUAAAAGCUAGACAUUUAAGAGCAUAAUAACUCUAGUAAAUAAUAUGAGAUGGUUAUUAGUAUGCAAUGGACUCCGCAUCAUGUCAAACUGCAGGCAUAAGAUUGGGUAAAUCAAAUGCAAAUGACUAUAAAAUCAAAUAGAACACAUACAUGUCCAUUCCAUGGAAAACCACCUCAAGGCCAAAAGAAUUAAUAGUAGUUUGAAUUUGAGUAAUCACAAUUUUAGAUUCACCUAGUCACCAGAAAACAUUUCGCUCAUCCAUUCCCACAAGUAUGCAAAUAUAUGAAGGCUUUAGGAACAUAAUAGUACAAAUGAGUAACCAUGAUCAAAGAAUAAAGAA
rnacentral:misc_RNA from 1 species